CCUACGGGAGGCAGCAGUGAGGAAUAUUGGUCAAUGGGCGCGAGCCUGAACCAGCCAAGUAGCGUGAAGGAUGACUGCCCUACGGGUUGUAAACUUCUUUUAUAAAGGAAUAAAGUGAGGCACGUGUGCCUCUUUGUAUGUACUUUAUGAAUAAGGAUAGGCUAACUUCGUGCGAGCAGCCGCGGUAAUACGGAGGAUCCGAGCGUGUUCCGGAUUUAUUGGGGUUAAAGGGAGCGUAGAUGGGGUGUUAAGUCAGUUGUGAAAGUUUGCGGCUCAACCGUAAAAUUGCAAUUGAUACUGGCAGUCUUGAGUACAGUUGAGGUAGGCGGAAUUCGUGGUGUAGCGGUGAAAUGCUUAGAUAUCACGAAGAACUCCGAUUGCGAAGGCAGCUUACUAAGCUGCCACUGACAUUGAUGCUCGAAAGUGUGGGUAUCAAACAGGAUUAGAUACCCUGGUAGUC
rnacentral:rRNA from 1 species